GAUGAACGCUGGCGGUGUGCCUAAUACAUGCAAGUCGAGCGAACAGACGAGGAGCUUGCUCCUCUGACGUUAGCGGCGGACGGGUGAGUAACACGUGGAUAACCUACCUAUAAGACUGGGAUAACUUUGGGAAACCGGAGCUAAUACCGGAUAAUAUAUUGAACCGCAUGGUUCAAUAGUGAAAGACGGUUUUGCUGUCACUUAUAGAUGGAUCCGCGCCGCAUUAGCUAGUUGGUAAGGUAACGGCUUACCAAGGCGACGAUGCGUAGCCGACCUGAGAGGGUGAUCGGCCACACUGGAACUGAGACACGGUCCAGACUCCUACGGGAGGCAGCAGUAGGGAAUCUUCCGCAAUGGGCGAAAGCCUGACGGAGCAACGCCGCGUGAGUGAUGAAGGUCUUCGGAUCGUAAAACUCUGUUAUUAGGGAAGAACAAAUGUGUAAGUAACUAUGCACGUCUUGACGGUACCUAAUCAGAAAGCCACGGCUAACUACGUG
rnacentral:rRNA from 1 species